rnacentral:lncRNA from 1 species
UGACCCACUUCUCCUUCAUCAGGAAGUUUUAUUGGAGGAUCAACCAUUAUAUGUCCCUCUCCUACCAUGUGAGCUUCACCAAAGACGGCUGCCAACCGCUCUCACACCCUCUUUGGGUAUUCCAACGUCAGUAUUCAACCCGACUUCAUUAUAUUCUUUGGAACAUCGGUUUUAGGAUUUCAAGUGAAAUUUCUCUUCUGGUCUCUUCUUUCUUUACAACAUUUAUCUUUCGUUAUGCUUUAAUCAUUUUCAUGUAUCUCCUAAUCGUCGAACAUACUUCGAAUUGUAUUCAUUUAAUCUCUUUCGGCCUUUAAUUUUAAUAAGAAAAGAAGACAAGAUGGUAAGAGGAC